GUUCUGGCUCUACUUCUGCCACAGCUGCAGCAUGGCAGAAUCUCUCACCACUUUCUCUGAUCCGAGGACAGAAAUGAGCAUCCUGGAAACCAACCAGUACUUGCGCUCCCAGCUGGCAAAAACCAAACAGAGCUUCCGAGACCUCACAGAGAAAUUCCUCACAUCCAAGGCUACUGCUUACUCCCUGGCCAAUCAGCUGCAGAAAUACAGUAAGCCCAGUGUGGUCACAGUCACCAGAGUGACUGCCCAUCUUCCCUCUGAGAAACUAAACACUCCCCAAACUUUAUUCUUCUCUCUCCAUCAAAAUAAAUCUCAUCCUGACUAUACUCCUGGAAAAGUAGAAGUGGAUAUGUUACUCUCAAUUUGCAGAAGAUGGAAACACUGAAGCACAAAGGAAUGAAGUUUAUAGUGAGAGGGUAGGAAGGCAUAGAGGCUAAACUGUGGGUUCAGGCAUUAAACUGUCUUUUCUCUCUCAGGAACAUGUAUCAGACUCUAUAAACAUAUAGUAACACUGUUGGCUUAAAUAUCUCAGGAUUCAGUUCCAACUUUUUCUAAGUACCCGUUUGCAAAGCACUGUGCUAGCCAUACUAGCGUAAUAGUGUAAUAGCAUACCCUCCCUGUCUUAUGGGAGCUUAAAGCUGUUUCCCACUCAACCAGAUACCUGGAGAUGAGAACAUCAAUAGCAAACACCGAGGGAAGUCCUGAUGCCUGGAGCCAGAUUCUUUUCCCACGUAAGUUCCAGGAAGCCGUCCCUUACACUCUGUGAGAUUGAACGUAUUUCCAGGAAAAUCAGAGACUCUUUAACACCUUUUUGAUCUCUCCCUUGAAUAUGAACUUUGAAGACAACAAGCUGGUCCAGGAUCUGGGCUUUGAGAUGCAGGGCCAAAAUGAGAAUGAGGCUAAGUGGGUGAGGCCUCCAGUGCAGCAGACCAGGUCUGUAUAGGAGCUGGCCCUUCCCUCUCCAUGCUCAGCUUUCACAUUUGGAAAUCCUUGGACAGUCUCACACGUGUUUGUCAUGGGGUUGGGGGGGUACCAGUGGGAAGCUGUAGUGACUGAAGGAAACAUGAUGGAAGUGAGGACACAUGAGAGACAGGAACAGUAGAGGAGGAUGCUUGCUGACAUUGAAGUUGAGUUUGCUUUCAAAUUCCUACAAUUUUUCAGUAAAUUAGUAGAGGAUGAAAUUUGCUUAUCCAACUUACAUGGAGAAAAAAAUUUAAAAAAUGCCUACUUAUUAAAGAAGAAAAAGAUGAGCUUUGGGGUGUGGAAGAAUAAAGGGCUUUUUUUCUACAUCACUUAUUAUAAAAUCACAAUUGUAGGACAAAUAUUUUGGAGCUAGUAAAGAGAUCUUGCCCUAGAUCUUAGUGUAAAGAUAAUACAGUACAGUGAUUAUGAGCAUGUACCCUGGGACCAGACUUCUGGGUCCAAAUCCAAGUUAUCCUUUUUGUGCCUCAGUUUUCUCACCUGUGAUGGUAGUAAGAAUAUUUGCCUUUGCAGUUAGUUGUGAUGAUUACAUGAUAAUUCUCAAAAACCUAGGACAGUGCAAUGGCAAGCACCGGGUAUUCUCUCCCUCUAACCUAACACAACACCUGUUUGCAUUUGAACAUACGUCUUUCAGAUUUUUUCCCCUCCAUAUACAUUUUACACCCUUGUAUCCAGAUAAACUUUUAAAUUUUUGAACUAUUGAGGGAAUUAUUGAAACUCUCAACGUGGGAGAACCAUCAGUCCGACAAUCUUCGGAGACAUCCUAAACACAGGAAAUCACUACUUCAUGCUUUAUGGUUUAUUUCAGGUUAAUGGUUUAUUUCCGAGGCUACCAAGCUUGGUAAAAUGGCCCAAGAUUUGGAGUCAGACCUCAGGGGAUGUGAAUUCCUCAGGGAUUGUCUCAUUCCAGUUGAAUCCAGUUGAGCAAGUUACCUGCCCAUGAGCUUCUCUUUCCCCAUAUCUAAGAUGGGGAGCAAUCAUAUGCCAUGUAGCCUGGGAGAUUGAGGAAUGAAAUGUGGAAAUCCCAGCAGAGAGCCUGGUAAUGGGGUUACAUUUGUCCUUGGGGUGGACCCUGCCUCCUCGUGUGAAGGCAGUGACUAGAGCAGCGUGUCCAGCUUUCCACUGAGGCAGGUGUGUCUGUUUUUUUCAGAGAGUGAAGAGCACAAAGCCCUCAUUGAAUCUGUGCUAGAGGAGGGAGCGCGGUUUGAGGGAGAGCUGGCAGAGAAGAGGAGCCCAGCUGCAAGGCUGGGGUAAGGAGGUGCCUGUGCGGGAGGGUGUGAAUUACGGUCUUAAGUGGACCUUGCGGGCUGCUAGUAUAGAGAGCGCAUGUGCAAGGAGAAGGGCAGGAGAGUACCUGGCAGGCACAGAACCAGACAAAGACAACCGGCGGGGUUGUGAGAAUGGGUGGGAGAACAGUCUGGUCUCUGGGGUUCUCUCUUAAAUAGCAUAAGAAUAAAAUGGAGACAGAUGCCUGGGAUGGAAUACUAGCAAUGUGGCUUCCAGGUGGGUGGCCUUGUGCAAAUUCACUCAGCUUUCCUGCAUUUCAGUUACCUCAGCUACCUCACCUGCAAAAUAAAAAUACCAAUGGUAUCUACCUCAGAGGGUUAUGAAGAUGAGACACAUGAUUACAGGUUAAAACCAUCUCCUAUGCGUAUGAAGCUCUCAACAAAUAUUUUCUGUAAUCAUUAUACUUGCUUUUAUUUUUUACAGGAGUGGUAGUUGUCAUUAAUGGACUAACAUUUUCUACCAUGAGAGAGAUUUUCCCAAGUUUUCCAAAGUGCCUUUUUCAUGAUAAAAAUGUUUCUCCUUCUCAACUUUGAUUUUUUUUCUAAGUACCAUACUAUGUGGAGUACUAACUGGUAGGGCUGUUGGGCAGAUAGAUAAUCAAGCAGUCUGGGAAAAUGGAUUAUUAAUGUGCUCUGGACUAGCCUUGUCCAUCCUCAGAUUGUUUCAAAUAUAGGGGAGAUUGUGGGAUUCCAGAUGUCUUUUAACCCUUUGUUGAAAGGGAAUCUGAGAAGCUCAAAUGUAUAAAACUUCCUAAAGCAGAGAUACUUGAUUGAAGAAGGCAUAGGUCUGGAGCCUCUGUUGCUCCCUAGUCUAUGCCUUCACCAACUCUGACACUUUUUAAGAGCUCUAUGGAAUAGAAUUUGAAAGACAAUCUGUAGAAUAUAAUUUAGUAGACAGCAGGGAGGAGAUUCAGGCAUCAGAUGAGGUAGACCUAAAUAUCUCGUCCAGCUUUAGGAUUAUGUGGUUCUAAGUAUUAACCGAAUGCCUACUUGUGUGUGUACACUCUGUUGGGUACUGUAAGUUGGGUACUACAUGGCACUGUCUCUAGCCUCGCAGAGCUCACACUUUUAGAUUGGAAUCUGUGUAUAAUAUUUGUAUAAUAAUUAGAAAAUGGUGAAAACCCACUUAGAGUGAUGUAAUUGUUACUCAGAACUUUAUUUACUCUUAAGUGCCUCCUUACUGAUUAUUACUCCUUUUCACGUCACUCAAAAGAAUGUUAUCCUUCUUGACCUUUACAUUGAUUUUCCUUUUCAUCCUUUGAAUUAACACCACACGUACCCAUCCAACACUUCCGUAUCUGGUUUGUGCGUGUGUGCGUGCAACUUUCUGUAUAAUGCUAGGUAGUAUAUAUUCCAUGGAAAUGGAUGUGGGCUGAAUUGAGGAACUAAAGGGGCAUCUUUUCAAAGCAAAGCUAAUAAAACAACAAACAAACCCAAUGCUGUUUCCUCAUUCCCUCUGCCACAGGCAGGCCAAGUCACAUGACUUGUAUAAGAAUUCAAGUUGGGGAAUUCCUUAGGGGCAUUCUAAGAGAUGUCUCUGUUGAAACUCCCACAACCUAUCGUUCACUACAUGCACUGUUAUAUUUUACUUUUCUUUCCUACCUUAGGAAACAUGAUACCCUAAUUCAGGCUCAUGCCCGAGAACUGACCCACUUACGACAGAAGAUACGAGAAGGGAAAGGUGUCUGUUAUCUUUUCAUUCAGCAUACGAAGAGCAUAGUGAAGUCUUUUGAGGGCCUCCUCAGGAGUGCUGACAUUCCCUACUACCAGGGACAGAGAUUCUGUGAGCAGCUGGCCCAAGGAAGCCAGCUGGCAGAGAGCCUUGCCAGCAAACUCAUCACUGGUAAGUUGGCUUACGGGUUCUGGAGACCCUUAGCUCCUCCCAAGGUCCUAGCCUCACAUAAGUCUCCAUGCUUCCACAUGACUCUAAGAGUGACAUUUUAGCCAGUUGUCCAGCUGUUUUGUGCCCUUCUCAGCCUAUUGAUAGUGAUGCUAUUAGGUAGAACUACCUAGGGGCACUCACCUGGGCCCAAGGUGAGCCCCCAUAGACAUUUCUUUCUUUUAAGGAUAAUUGAUUUACACUGAAUUGGCCCACUGUAGUGUCAGUUCUGUGAGCUUUGAGAAAUCCAUACAGUGCUGUAAGCACUGCCACGAUCAAGAUGUAGAGCAGUCCCAUCACCACUCACAGUUCCUUUGUGCCUCUGUGUAGUCAGCCAUUGUGCCCAACCCCAGUUACUGGCAAUCACUGGAUCUGUUUUCUGUCCCUACAGAUUUUCCAUCUCCAGAAUGUAUCAGUAGUUGGUUUCCUUUUUUACUGUUAAGUACUGUGCCGUUAUACAGACGUACCACUUUUAUUUAUCCAUUCAUCCACUGAAGAACAUUUGGAUUAUUUCCAGUCUGGGGCUAUUAUGAAUAAUAGCUCUAAAGAUUCACCUGCAGAUUUUGGUGUGAAAAUAUGUGGGGUUUUUUAAAUGUUUGUUUCUUUAUUUUGAGAGAGAAUGAGUGGGGGAGAGGGGCAGAGGGAGAGGUAGGGACAGAGAGAGAGAGAGAGAGAGAAUCCCAAGCACUGAGUGUGGAGCCUCACUUGGGGCUCGAUUCCACGACUGUGAGAUCAUAACCUGAGCAGAAACCAAGAGUUGGACGCUUAACCAACUGAGCCACCCAGGAGCCCCUGAAAAUAUGUUUUCACUCACUUCACUUGGGUAAAUAGGAGUAGGAUUGCUGGGUCAUGUGGUAAAUGCACGUUUAACCUAGAAGAAACUGCUACACUGGUUUCCAAUGUGGCUAUACCAUUUCAGAUCCCAUUGGCAAUGUGUAAAAGUUACAGCUGUUCCCCAGUAUUAACUUUUGAUAUUUUCAGGUUGUUGUUCUUUUGCUUUUUGUCUUUUUAGCAAUUGUAAUAAGUGUGGGGAGGGCAUAGCAUUGUGGUUUAAAACAGAUUUUUCUUUUAACGUUUAUUCAUUUUUCUUGAGAGACAGCACAAGUGGGAGUGGGGCAGAGAGAGAGGGAGACACAGAAUCUGAAGCAGGCUCCAGGCUCUGAGUUGUCAGCACAGAGCCUGAUGCGGGGCUCGAACUCAUGAACCGUGAGAUCAUGAUCUGAGCCAAUGUCAGAUACUUAACCGACGGAGCCACCCAGGCACCCAUGCAUUGUGGUUUUAAUAUGCAUUUCCCUGAUGACUAAUAAUUUUGAGGUUCUUUUCAUAUGCCUGUUGACUCUCCUUGUAUCUUUGGUGAACCAAGUGUUCAUAUUUUGUCAUUUAAAAUUGAUUUGUUUGUUUUAUUAUUAUCAAGUCUUGAGGGUUCUUUGCAUUUCUGGAUACAAGUACUUUAUGAGAUGUUUAACUUGCAAAUAUUUUCUCCCAGUUUGUGGCUUAUCUUUUCAUUCUCCUAACGUAUCUUUCAGAAAGCAGAAUUUCUUAAUUUUAUGAAGUACAACUUAUGGAUCAUGCUUUUGAAGUUAUAUCUAAGAACACUCUACCUAAAAAUAAGGUUCUUUGCUUUUCCAUAUAAAUUUUACAAUCAGCUUGCCAUUAUCUGUAAACAACAACAAACUCCUUCUGGGAUUUUGAGUCACAUUGCUUUCAAUCUAUGAAAAGUUUGAGAAGAAUUGAUAUUCUUAUUAAUAUUGAGUUUUCUAAUGAUCAUAGUACCUUAUCAGGUUGAGGAAGUUCCCUUUCUGUUUUUGUUUCUUUUAUUCAUAUUUGAAUGAACAAACGAAUCUUUUGUUUUUUAUUUUAUGAUAGUAACUGCUGACAACAGAGGAAAAAAAUUAUGUCUCCUAAUGCAAACAUGAGUAGGCAUGGUCCAGCCAAGAAAUGUUUCCAACUUAUUUGAGGAAGUUCCUUUUUAUUCCUUAUUUUCUGAGUAGAUGUUUAAUUCUGUCAAAUGAUUUUUAUUCAUUAGUGAAAUGAUAAUGUUUUUAUUAUGUUGAGUACUUUUAUAGGGUCCUCUGGAUGUUUUGAAUAUUGUAUUGUAAGACCCUGGGUCCUGUUAAAAUCUUCUGGAAUUGUUUUUUUAGCAGGCAAUCAACCCCAUUAGGUUCAGACCAAAUUCUGCCUCACCUUCUACAGGUAGUAUCCAAUGUCAAAUCAGUGUUCAUUGCCUUCGAUAUGCUGUUUCGGUCAGUCUAGCAAAUACAUUCCUUAGGUUUCUUCUGGACUAGUUGCUGGUUUGUGUGGUAAUUCAGUUUUCUCAUCCUUUGCCAUGAUUCCUUGGGUCUAUUCCACACAUAUUCUGGGGAUGAGCCCUGGGACUUUUAUCAGCUCAUAGACAGUUUUCCAGACUCUCUUCUCUCUGGUAUUUCUUCCAUACUUUCCAGUUUCCCAGGGUCCCUUUUCCCAGUUCCUCUGUUCAGAAAGAGUGAGUUCUCUCAGAGAUUUCUCUUCUCACACUGUUUUGCUUUUCUUUCUUUCUUUUCUUUCUUUUUUUUUUUUUUUUAAGUUUAUUUAUUCUGAGAGAGAGUGCACAAGGGCCGGGGAGGGGCAGAGAGAGAGAGAAAGAGAGAGAGAGAAUCCCAAGCAGGCUCUGCACUGUCAGCAUGGAGCCUGACUCUGGGGGACAGGGGUAGGGAGGGUGGGAGGGUGGUCUGGAACCCACAAACCAUGAGAUCAUGCCCUGAGCCAAAGUCAAGAGUCAGAGAGAUGCUUUAACUGAGCCACCCAGGUGCCCCCUCACUGUAUUGCAGUUCUGAAUGACUGGGGCUACUUUAAGAGCAAGGAGGCAAGAAAAUUGAGAAAUAGAAAAUAAAAGGGGGCACUUUUCACACUUUUCAGGCAAGAGAUCCCGUUUUCCUAGUUCUUUUGAUCAGAGAGCUAGAUUCUCUUUUGUGAUUUAAGGUUUAGGCAGUUCUGCAACUGGGCUGGUCUCUAAGCCGGGUCAGGAAAGAAGAAAAAGAAAAAAAGAGAAGUUUCUCUUCAUGUUCUCCACUCACUGACAUGCACAGGUGCCUUUGUCCAGUCAUUGGGUUGGAAGGGUUAGGUGGUUUCUCCAGAAGUUUUUGCUCCUUAGAGACUGCAGUGAGUUCUUUAUGAAAGCCUAAUAGGACACACAACCGCAGUUUAGCCAUCUGCUAUGGGGCAAAAAUGAAGGUUACAACUGGAGAAGUCCAGAAGGCAACUGAACAAGUAUUCCAAGCACUGGUGAACAGCAGACAUUUUAAACUUUUUGCCUUGACUUGGUAGCAGAUGCCAUGGUGAUUAUUCACCACACCAGGAUACAGUCCUCAGCCUUCUCUGCCAGAGCAUUCUACAAAAUCCCCUUACAAAGACUUACUGUCCAGUUUGCUCAAGAAAGCCUGCCAGGCUACUUCUCUGAAGAUACAGUCCUAAGCCUUCUCUGCCAGAGCAUUCUAAACAAACAUGUAGAGUAUUACGUCCCUGAUCAUAUAGGCCCUAAUAUUUGUAAUGUGUGAAAUGGGAUCUGCUCAAUUUCUGACUAGCUGUUUCUGUUUUUUGGUUCUCAGAAAAUCACAAUGAUAAGAAGGAUGAAGAUAGACAGGAGCCACUGGCACCCAGGUAACUGAAGGACAAAAGGGCUGAUAAUGGAAUGGUGAAGUAUAGGGAAGAUUCCAGAAGCAAGUGACCAAGAGGCCAAAGUCCCAGAUCUGGGGGAAAAAAACCGAACCCACUAAUUGUACCUAUUUCAUUCAUUAAUCAUAUAGUGAUGUGUCCUUUUAUUUUUUUUAAUUUAUUUUUAAUGUUUAUUUAUUUUUGAGAGAGAGAGAGAGAGAGAGAGUGCAAGCAGUGGAGGGGCAGAGAGAGAGGGAGACACAGAAUCCAAAGCAGGCUCCAGACUCUGAGCUGUCAGCACAGAGCCAGACAUGAGGCUCGGGCUGACACACCGUGAGAUCAUGACCUGAGCUGAAAUCAGACGCUUAACCAACUGAGCCACUCAGGUGCCCCAAUGAUGUGCCCUUUUAAACAAUGUUGUCUGUUCAUGGUAAGUUCUUGUAUUGGUUACCAUUUCUUAGUAGUUCAUCAAGUUUAGUUAGCUAAAGUCAGUCUGACAUAAAGAUAAACUAGCCAGAGAUCCCUGGUGUCUGUGUUCUAAAAAUGUGUAUGGUAAAAAAAAAAAAAAAUCAAAGUGAGACAUUGUCUCAGGAGCCAGCAUUCAGUGGACAACUUCCUACGAUAGAUAGUAAACAAAAUUUGUCCGCAGGAUUUUAAAACCAAUAUUCUAGGUCUCUGUGUGUCACAAGUGCCUUUUAGAAUAGUUGAGUCUACUUCCUCAUCCACAUGUUAUGAGGUCAGUACACUGAGCACCUGCUGCCCCCUUCUAUCCCAGUUCUAGGCUCAUGAACCCAUCAAAGUGGAUUGCUAUGCUUUCUCUCUCAUCCAGAUGGCCUCUUUGCUUUCUGGUGUGGCUUCCAGGAGCUUCAGACGGGACCAGCUGCGAAGCUGUGGUUCCAGGUUGCCGCAGUUUAAUCUCCUGUCUUACCUCCCUGCCAUCCUCCCCAGGCUCAGCAGGGGGCUCCAGGAGGAAGAAGUGAAUGAAGCCCUGGAAGCCUCACUAGAUGAACAGUAUUUGACUCAUUCCAGUCGCCAUGACUCUCACCAGCUUCCCCGCAGCAGUUCCUUCCUGCUUGACAUGCAGGAAGCCAGCUCUGCUGUGGAAGUCACCAGUGAGUACUUCCAUUAUAAAGAGAAUAAAGGAACACAAGACUGGAGAAUAAAGCUCCAAUAGUUUCUACAUGCUUACCACCUUGGUUUAGGCUGAGUGAGACCAUCUAGUAGGCAGGCCCUAAAGAUUAACCUUGAAAAAGCUAUCAGGCUGGACGUGCAGCUCGGACCAAGUUUCAAAUACAGGUCCUUGGUGGGUCAGGUAAUUUGUUGCAUUGUUCGUGGUCCACACCUCAUCUCAGUCACUCUGUCCCCCACUGGCAUCUGCAAGCUAAUGGAGUCUAGGCAAGCCAGAUUGGAGAAUGGAGAGAUGAUGGUGGACUGUGUGCCACUAUUUCAGCAUGUGCACAGAAUCUAACAGACCUCCUCUAAGACGAAGCAACUUACCUUUCUGGGAAUGUUCUUGCUGAUUAUAGUUCCUGAAGAGUGUCCCUUAAGCUUUUCUAGCUGAGAAAUACUGGCAGUGCUGCCCAUAUUUUUGGAGGUGCGGUUAUCAUGAUUGCAGUCCCCAUCUCCCCUCAGAUGGCUUGCUUCCUCAUAAGGUUCCAUCUUAGUACCAGAGCAUCAAGUGGUUUCCCUAAAGACAAGGCUCAGCUCUUGGCAACCCUUGGGUAAGUGACCAGGGUUCCCGUCCUAUGUGUAGCACCAUUUUUAAAUAAUGUCUGUGGGUUUAGUCUCAGUACUGUAAUCUAAUCUAAAACCAACAGCCAGCCUAUCUACUGAAGAAAAGGCUGGGUCUAGCAGCCAUGCCACAAGCAUGCCCCUUUCCUAAAAAAGCCCCACCUAGCCAGUGUAGCUCCUCCAGGCAUGUAAGAGCCCCUCGGGAUAGCGGCCUCACGGGUGUGUGUAGAUUAAAGCCUCAACCUUCAUUUCCUUCCCCCCCCCCUUUUUUUUUUGACUAUUUGACUUUCCUUUGGGGAUAAAAGUUUGGAUUAUUAGAGAACUAUAUGUCUUAUGUCUUCUUGUAGGCAUGAGAAAGAGACUAUAUUAAUUCACUCACUGUUAACUGAGUUUUUUAAUAGUGAUAUAAGCCAUGUCAGGCUUUGUCUUUUUGCCAGUGGUGGGUGUCUUUUCUUACUCAGGCAAUCCCCUUACAAAGGCUUCCUCAUUCCCAUUUCACUUUGAGAUGUAGUGGGAGGUUGUCCUCUAUAAAUGACGUUCAGACACAAAUCAUGUGGGAGAGAUAUUUAGUAGAGACAUUCCUUAGUACCCAAAAGUCUUAUAUAAGAGGGGCCACACCUUUCCCAGUACUAGAUAAGCCCUACUCUGAAGGCUGAUUCCAUAUUUUACCACCUUAUAUCAACCUCCUUUAUACUUCCCAUAUCCUUGUAUGGGAGGUGGCCCUGUGAAGUUUGCUUAGCACUGGGUCAUGCUUUGUUUGAAGGCCUGCAGGCUCCUACAGGAGGUUCCCAGGUAUUUCCUGAUGAAAGCGGAAGUUGGCAGAAGAAUGGUGCAAGGCAGGGAUCUUGCUGAGAGGCCCUUGGCCACCCCAUUAGUGAUAAGGAUUCUCCAUCUUCUACCUCAUUCCCUGUCCUGGUGGAAUGGCUGCAGAAGAUGAGAUCCAGAACCUGUACCAGCACCUGAGGGAAAUUCUUUUCAUCAAUGCCUGCCUUCAAGAAAAGCUGGAACAUCAUCUCAGCAUUUCUGACCAAGGAAACGGUAGGGGAGGCCCAAGUCUGUCUGCUUCUGGCAAUAUGUAUCUUUCUAAGGACUUGUAAUGUGUUGCAGGGCUUCACAGGUUUCAAGAACUUGACGUGCUUUAUACUUCACUUAUUCUUACAAAUGGCCCAACUAGGGAGAAUAGGGCAGGUAUUAACAUUCCUACUUUUUAGAUGAGUAAAUAGGCUCAGAUAGAGGUUUGCCCCAAGACUGAGCUGUCCCUCCAUCUUAAGAGUUAUCUGACCUCCAAAAGCCUUCUUGUGACUCCUAAGCUGUACACUUUCUGCUGCUCUUCUCCUCUUAUGCAGUCAUUCAGUAGAACCCAGGUUGCUGAGCACCUCAUUCAGCAGAGUGAGGGUCUCUGCUGCUGUCAUCCUUACCCCCCUCCCUAAUGUCUUGGUUACUCUUCAUUGUUCUCAAGGUUGUUCUUCUCCACACAUCUUCCUCUUACAUUGCACUCACGCAGAGGCCAUCAUUUCCCAGUCUCAGGCUGGGCCAGAACAGUGACUGGGCCUCUUUCCAUAUCAAAGGAGCAACUAUUUAAUGAGAAAAGUCUCCUUCAUAAUUUCAGCCAUUGGGUGUGAUAAUACAAAGGAAUGAGCUGGCAUUUGUUCAGGGCCUGGUGAAAAUUAAGCAUCUGCCCCAUAAUGCUGAAGUUCCAACCUUUGAGUCCCCAGAGGUUUCUCCUGGGCUGAGACAGAAGGGGAAAAGGAAUUGCAGAAAGCAUUAUCUUAAGCAAAUGUGUGGAACUUGCCUAAACUGCUAAUUAUUUCCUGCAAUAGGAUAUACUUCUGACUUCUACAGGGAGAGCUUGGACUCCCUUGCCCAGCUGUACAAUGAAAACAGAGAUAUCAGGAAAGAAAGUCUGAGCCUUCUGGCUCACCUGAAUCGUAUUUCCAGAGGUAAGUGGUCAAAAACCACAAGAGGAGGUCACUCUCAGAGCUUUCUUUUCUCGUGCCUUACCCAGCUAUAGAAACAAAAGAUGAUGGGGAGGCCACAGCUACCCAAAGCCUCUUGACUCAUAAUUCUCAUAGUUUUUCUCAAUAUAGUGAGGGCUACCUCCUAGGUGCUCCCUCUACAGGUCCCCAGACUCUAGGCUCCAGGAAUGAAUAGCUCUGGGAAAUUCACCUUUCAGGUACAAACCACACCUCACUAAUGCAAGGCUUAGAAGAAAAGAACAGUCCUCAGAGGUGAGAAGACAUAAGAGAAUA
rnacentral:lncRNA from 1 species